UUGUUGCCUUGCCCAGAUUUGUCUUCCUACGUGAAUAAACUGCCUUCCAAGUGCCAACAUCAUACAGGAACCCAGCAGGAACGGAUCCAAUUCUUCUCUUAAUUCCAAAGUGAAUUCCUGCCGUUAGAUUUACCACUAUGUCUCGUCUUCUUCGCAAGUCUCACCGAGGCCUUGACCCUGCAAAUAUUAAUACAUGGUUAAAAUUUAACGCAUACAUGUCUGCUUCAGAACCUACGGACAGAUCCGCCGUGGAAGCGCCUGCUGGAACAGCCGUGGUGGCAGCCAUGCCCAGUGGAUGGAGAUGGUAACAAGGGAAAAUGUCGAUUUUGCCAGCAAGGCAUGUGAAAAAAUAAAACAGCUUUAUACUGCCCUGUUUACACUAUAGAGUUUGGGGGUUUUGCCACAGAAAUGCCACCAAAAAUUUCACCCAUAACUAAAUGGGCAACAUUUCUAGUUUACGCUUGUUUUUUCACGGUAAGGGCUUGAAGACAAGGGCUCCAAGACUUUUAAUGGUAUGCGGUAUGGUAAUUAACGCUUUGUCGGCCAUUAACAAGGAAAAAAAAAAAGAAGUUUCAUUUCUCUGUUUUGUCUAUUGGAGGGUAAUGAGAUCGUAAAGCAUUUUUUGCGGCAUAUUGUGGCUUCCGGGGACACGCCGACGGCCACCCAAGCAAAUUCCCAAGUCCUCCAGCCGUCUCCAGAGUGCGUUCAUCUCCCCGUGUGGAGCAGGCGAGCCGGGGCUGUAGACCCUGCCUUCUCCAGCUGAUUUCUAGAGUACCAGUCUCGGAACAGCUUCCUUCUUUUCCUCCUCCAGCUCUACGAAACGCGCUAAAAUACAGCUGAACUCUCUGGGCUUGGCAGCGAGGACAGGCUCGGGCUGCCAGCUCACCUCUCCCUGGCCAGGACGCAGGCAGGAACAAGAGCAGGGAGAGCCACUUAAGUAGGGAAAAUAACCCGCGGGGCUGAGACCCUGGUGGUUUUACAAGGGCAGCUCUAUUCGACUGCGAACAAACCGCCGGUCUCUCCCGUGGCUGCUCGUGCUGACAUGCAGAUGCUGAAUACAGGUGGCCAAACAGGCACUCGAAGGGCACGAGAAGAAUUCACCCCGCUGCUCCCGAGGAGGACAGCCUGGCACUGCGAUUUCAUUAACCUGCGCUGUUGCGGACCUGUACCUAAAGCCACGGCUUCAGAGCAACGCCACGUCCAGUCCCGGGGCGGUUAGCCCUGCUUUCAUCGGGCUUGCGCCCCAGGACAAGUUAACAAAGAAAACAAAUGAAAAAAAAACCCCACCGAGCUUAUAGCUGCUUCUUGCCAGAAAAGGGGCAUGAUGAAAAUAGAAGAAAAAUAACCUGAAUAAAAAAUA